UGUUAGCCCUGUAAUAGUCUACAGCUGUGGCUCAUAGGUUAAUUGAGCCACACCCAUUCUGGUGCUCCUUAAGAGGGCCAGAGUAUUACACGGGAGGGACGCUUGAGUUGUGCAAGUGACUCGACUGUUGUGCUAUUGUUUGUUUUAAGUAAGAAUAUGUUUUUCACCAACAACAUUGUGCAUCAAGUUUAUUUAAGUUGAUACCGGUGAGACACGUUAUCGAAAGAAGAUGUUAAAGACCUUUUGAAGUAAAGAGGAGCAUCUCAUCUGGACCUGAUGUCUAUCAUGGAUAUUUAACUGCAGUUCUGUGUCUGCCUCCUCACCCUGAGCAAGACCUCCACCUCCUCACCAAGAGCCAGACCUCCACCUCCUCACCAAGAGCCAGACCUCCACCUCCUCACCCAGAGCCAGACCUCCACCUCCUCACCCAGAGCCAGACCUCCAGCUCCUCACCCAGAGCCAGACCUCCACCUCCUCACCCAGAGCCAGACCUCCACCUCCUCACCCAGAGCCAGACCUCCACCUCCUGUCAGAAGUCCUCCAGAACAGUUCAGUGCUCCGCUGAAAGGCGAGGCGGAGAGGCUGGGAACCGGAGGCUUGUGGUGCCAGGAUGGACCGGAGACUGAGGCUGGAGACCAGGGGCCUGCAGCACCGGACCAGGGGAUCAGGAAUCCAUGGCUGAAGGAGCUGAUGGAGGAGCCGUGCUGAAGGCCCUGCCUGGUGGAGGAGCUGAUGGAGACCCUGCCUGGGGGAGGAGCUGCUGGAGGAGCCGUGCUGAAGGCCCUGCCUGGUGGAGGAGCUGAUGGAGGCCCUGCCUGGUGGAGGAGCUGAUGGAUGCCCUUCCUGAUGGAGGCCCUGCCUGGUGGAGGAGCUGAUGGAGGCCCUGCCUGGUGAAGGGGCUGAUGGAGGAGGAGCUGGUGGAGGUCCUGCCUGGUGGAGACCCUGCCUGGUAGAGGAUGUCUGUCGUGAGCAGGACUUUCGCUGUUUGUCCCAGACCAGGACUCGUCUGAGGAGAGUUGAUGGUUGAGCUGAGACGCUGGAGGACGACUAGGAAUCGACCAACAAGGAUUCCUCAUAAGUUUGCAUUUACUUAACAUUGUUGACUUAAAGGGCAAAAUACAGCGGUUACUUUGACAUGCGUUAACAAAUACCGCUGUGUUUUCUUACUAGAACGUGUUUCUGGAGCGGAGGCGAGCUGGCAGGGGAGCCGUGAAUCUGGAGGACGACAUCACUCUACCAACAAGGAUCCACCAGGAAUCUGGAGGACUGACGGAGAAGCUGUACAUCUGGAAGGCAAAUCCUGAGGACAACCAGGACUCUACCAUCAAGGAUUCCUCACACACCUGAGCUUAACCCACCUGAUCCUGUUUGGUCGGGGGCAGAAACACCUGAGCUGAACCCCACCUGAUCCUGUUUGGUCGGGGGCAGACACACCUGAGCUGAACCCCCACCUGAUCCUGUUUGGUCGGGGGCAGACACACCUGAGCUGAACCCCACCUGAUCCUGUUUGGUCGGGGGCAGACACACCUGAGCUGAACCUCCUCUGAUCCUGUUUGGUCGGGGGCAGACACACCUGAGCUGAACCCCACCUGAUCCUGACACCCUGCUGGUCCCGUCUCCUCAGUUCAUCUGAGCCUCGUCCUCCAGAAGACCUGCUGAGCUCAGCGGUCUGAGGCUGAUGGAUCAAUGACCUCCAGUGGGAGUGAUCUCCUUGACCCCACAUGUACCCGUGUGCUUCCGCACGCCUUUCCCUCACGUCCGUCACUAACCUCACUAUUUCCCCACUCACUACUCCUUCCCCUUCUUCUUCCUUCUCCGUGCUUCAAACCUUUAUUCUGAAGGAGUGUCUUCUUGAACCUUUACACUGGAGGAGCGUCGUCCUGCCCUCAGAGGGUUCAGCGUUAGGGUUGAGAGUCAGGGUUUAGAGUCAGGGACAGAGCUGGUCAGGGAGGACUGGUUUUAAACAAACCUCUUCACUUGCUUUCUGAAUAGCGACAUUUUGAAAUGUUUCAUUUGGGAAAAUGUUUUUCUCUGCUUUCCUUUAGAAAAACAUGUAUAAAACUUCUGUCAAAUGUUUUUGUUUAUAUAUUAAAAUCCUACAUUGACUUCUGCAUGUUUGGUGCGGUUCAUUUAACUUGGUUAAUUUCAAGCUAAACUCCUGCAAUACAUUGAAUUUACAUGAUGAAUG